UACGAAGGGGGCUAGCGUUGUUCGGAAUUACUGGGCGUAAAGCGCGCGCAGGCGGUCUUCCAAGUCAGUGGUGAAAGCCUGGAGCUCAACUCCAGAACUGCCAUUGAAACUGUUAGACUUGAGUACGAGAGAGGUGAGUGGAAUUCCCAGUGUAGAGGUGAAAUUCGUAGAUAUUCGGAAGAACACCAGUGGCGAAGGCGACUCGCUGGACAAGUAUUGACGCUGAGGUGCGAAAGCGUGGGGAGCAAACAGG
rnacentral:rRNA from 1 species